UUUAUUUAUUGUCAAAUUUAUCGUGAAUUAAAUCAAUAAAAUUUGAAUUGAAUUUUUUUUUGAUAUAUAAAUAAUAAAGAAAAAAAACUUGAAAAAAAAAAAAAAUAAUAAUAAUUUAGUUAAAUAGUGAAAACAAAGAAACGGAAUGCCUAAUUUGCUAUUCGUUUGCCAAUGCCGAAUUGUCAAUCUUUGUGAACGGUUGAGAUCAAGGAAGCGUUAACUCAGAGAGCCAACUUCGUUAAACAAAUUUUAAGCGAAGAAAGUUAUGCAAAAUAUUUUUAGAGGAAACAAGAAAAAAAAUAAAAUAAACCAAUAAAAACAGCAAAAAAACUUAGUACAAAAAAGACUGUUAAUGUUGUUUUUAAAGAAUCAAAAAAAGGUUUGAUUUCAGCGAUUUACUAUUAAAGUUAAAAAAAAAUUGAGUAAAUAAGUUUAGCUUCAAAAAAGUAGAAUGUUUGACACUGGGCGACAGAUUUUUUAAAAUAUUAUAUUUUCUAAUAAUAAUUAAUUAUCGUUGUUUAUUAUUCUAAUUUUUACAUAUAUUAUUAAUUUUUACUGCUUCUUUUUUUGUUGAGAGGAAUUCAUUUGAAGAAGGCCGUUUGACAAAAAGUAAUUCAUCAACAAAUUGUUUUUUUUACAUGAAAAGAUCCAUUGGUGAAUGAAGCUGAAAAAUUCAAUUAAAAGAAAUAUAUAAAUAAUCGAUCAGUAAAAGCAUACAUUCGAUCAAGAAAAAGCAUGUUUUGAGAAUCCUUCAAAAGUGGUAUAUAACCAAGUAUAUUUGAAACCAGGUAGUGACAACCCAGAUAAUUAAAAUAAAUAAAUGCAAUUUUAAUGAACAAUAUACUUGUUUGGUAUUGAUAGAAGAGAAAAUUUAAAAGAGAGAAGAAGAGCAAGUUAAUCUUUUUUUUUUUUUUUCAACAAAAAAAAAAAAAGUCUAAAUAUGCAACUGCUAACAGUAAUGGAAUAACUUUUGAGAGUUUGCAGUAUAUUUUGUUGAUAUCUACAAAAUCAAUGGCUAUAAAUGACUUUGUUUUCCUUUUUUAGUUCUUGAAAAAAAUAUAAAUUAAAAUAAAAAAAAAAAAAACCGAAUAAAAAUAUAACUAAGUUUUGAAAAUAAUAAUAAAAAUGUAUUAACUGAUAUUUUACUACGAAAUAUAUAUUUUUAGAUCAAAAAUCUAAAACGCACUAUCA